rnacentral:rRNA from 1 species
CUCAAAGGAAUUGACGGGGACCCGCACAAGCGGUGGAGCAUGUGGUCUAAUUCGAAGCAACGCGAAGAACCUUACCAGGUCUUGACAUCCUUUGAAGCUUUUAGAGAUAGAAGUGUUCUCUUCGGAGACAAAGUGACAGGUGGUGCAUGGUCGUCGUCAGCUCGUGUCGUGAGAUGUUGGGUUAAGUCCCGCAACGAGCGCAACCCUUAUUGUUAGUUGCCAGCAUUCAGAUGGGCACUCUAGCGAGACUGCCGGUGACAAACCGGAGGAAGGCGGGGACGACGUCAGAUCAUCAUGCCCCUUAUGACCUGGGCUACACACGUGCUACAAUGGCGUAUACAACGAGUUGCCAACCCGCGAGGGUGAGCUAAUCUCUUAAAGUACGUCUCAGUUCGGAUUGUAGUCUGCAACUCGACUACAUGAAGUCGGAAUCGCUAGUAAUCGCGGAUCAGCACGCCGCGGUGAAUACGUUCCCGGGUCUUGUACACACCGCCCGUCACACCAUGGGAGUUUGUAAUGCCCAAAGCCGGUGGCCUAACCUUUUAGGAAGGAGCCGUCUAAGGCAGGACAGAUGACUGGGGUGAAGUCGUAACAAGGUAACCAAGCC